UCCGGCUUGCCACCGGCAGUUCCACUAGAGUCCCCAACUUUACUCGAUGGCAACAAGUGACAAGGGUUGCGCUCGUUACGGGACUUAACCCAACAUCUCACAACACGAGCUGACGACAGCCAUGCAGCACCUGUCUCUCGGUUCCCGAAGGCACAGUCAAAUCUCUUCAACCUCCCGAGGAUGUCAAGGGUAGGUAAGGUUUUUCGCGUUGCAUCGAAUUAAACCACAUGCUCCACCGCUUGUGCGGGCCCCCGUCAAUUCCUUUGAGUUUUAACCUUGCGGCCGUACUCCCCAGGCGGAGAACUUACCGCGUUAGCUUCGCCACUCAGUGAUUUAACUCACCCAACAGCUAGUUCUCAUCGUUUACAGCGUGGACUAC
rnacentral:misc_RNA from 1 species